UUAUAAGUAAAAGGAAUACUUAUAAAAAUAAUGGAAUACUCUAAAAUAAUGAUAAAAGGUAUAGGAUAGUAAAUAAACUAGUAACUGUUGUUUAUUAUUAGCAAAUAUGACAUACUGUACAUAAUUGUAUGUACUAGGCUGUUCUAUGACUAGCAGCACAGUAGGAUUGUUUACCCCAGCACCACCCCCAUACACACACACACAGAUGAGUAAUGCAUUGUUACAACAUUAGGAUGGCUAUGACGUCACUGGGCAAUAGAAGUUUUCAGUUCCAUUAUAACCUUAUGGGACCACCGUCAUGUAUAUGGUCCAUCGUUGACUGAACUGUCGUUAGUGCAUCACUCCGUACUGCUAUGGAGAAAAACAUAAAGCAGCAGGAAAGAUGGACGUGGGGAACCAAGGGGAGGAGUAGGCCUCUUCUGCUAGCUCCACCAGGGCUGGGAUCUUGGUGUGAUUCAUUGAUAUGUCCCUGGCGCCUGGGACCCAGGAAAGGCUCAGCAGAUAUUGGCUGAAUGAAGAAAAGACCAAGGAAGAAAAAUAAAGUGGAGAAAGAA